GUCUUCUGGCUUUUCUGUAGAUCAAAAAGUUUCCUGCCUAAGCACACAGAUAUUCUUUCACACACCAUAGCGGCCCUUUUAUGAAUCCCACACUGUAACAGUCUGCCUUCUACACCAGUUGAGAGCCCAGUGCGUCAGCUCUCAAGAUAAAAUGCAUGGUUAACACACAAUUAGUGGGAGAGGUUGUCUCCAGGAGAAUUUAUCUUAUAACGAAAGAAGCAGAAACAGCUAUUUUCCCCCUUUUUCUCCUCCCUUUUUUUUUUUUUUGAAAUAGCAAAGAGGGUGCGGUCAGAUGUUAGGGUUUUGCCUGAGAAAAGGGCCCUACACAGCACUAGGACCCACUAAAUACUAGCAGAGCAGCCUGGGAAGGGAGCCAACGGGAAGGACUUUGUUUGACCCAGCUGCCAAUCUCCCCCGAAGCCGUGCGCCAGACUAAACACUCACACUAUUUUAACUCAAAUCAGGCUACAGCAGCUGUUUGCUUUCCGGCUCUGAGCUCGGCACCCACAUGGCCUGUGUAGUUCACCCGCGAGCUUUGUGAGCUGCCUUGCUGAAAUCUGUUCCGGGGUGGGAUUUAUCAGUGGAAAGAAAAAUUUAACCCUGCUCUUCAUGGUUAACACGGAUUGCUUGUUUCUCAGCUUUUGCUCUGGUCACUGGAAGGUGAUUUUAUAGUUUUUGAAAACAGGAGUGAUGAUUUUACAUCCAAGGGAGAGAUUUGGGAUUUGAAGGUGAUGCUCCUGCAUUGGGAGAAAUAUGACAGUUCUGGAGGAUGUGAGCGUUGGACUGAGGACUAACACCACCACUUAGGUAAUCUUGUGGCAUUCUGCACUGAUCUUAUUGGAUUUCAAUGGUUUCUUCUGGAAAAGUGAUUCACUGAAGAAGAAAAACUCAUUUCCCAAAAUAUUUCAAAGUGCCUGAGGAAGCCUACGUGACUUGCUUGCCUUUUAGAUGGAGAACACAUUAUCAUUUGGGGCCAUGUUCACAGGUCACUAUGAUGAUGCUGCAUGUUUAUCAGAGACUAAUGUCAUAUCUCCCACCAAGAAAUCUCAAAAAUGCUGUGCUAUUUACUUACAACUGACAUGUUUAAUUUAAUGAAAAACACAAACUAGACAUUAGUUGCUAUAGAUACCACAUAAGGAUGUUUUAACAGAAUUCAGUGAAAAUAAAAUAUGAUGUUGAAGUAGGAAAGCACUAAGUCUUUUCCUCAGUGCCCAUGGAGAUGGGGAGCGGUGUCAUAUCUUUGCAGGCAAACACUCAUAUACAUAAAAUAAGUCCUUUAAAAAUAUAAAUUCUUAGAAAAACAAAUACUGUAAACAGCAGAAAUUAACAUUUUUAUAACAAGGGUUAAAAGCAGUAGAACAGCUUAAAAUAAUAGGUGCCCCAUAAAAUAUAUACUUCAUAAUAAACUAGUAGUCUAUGUUUUAAUGGAGUUUCAAUGUUUUCCUUUGCAAAAAUUUCACAUUUUAGAGAGUGAAGCAAAUAUAACAGCAAAAUAGAUUUUGAAUACUUAUUCUUUUUCUGAAUAAUGUUUCUAGUUUUAAAGGAGUCACAAGGUAGGAAUUUUAUGGCUAAUACCACCUGGAAUAUUAAUGAAAAUAAAUUCAUUAAAACUUUUUAAUUCCAAUGUUCACUUUAAUCACAUUCAUACUGAACUUGCAAAGGCAUGCUAGGUAAAUAACAUUUUUGUGUCAUCAGCAUCCUCACCAAAACUCAUUGACCAUCUCUAGGGCUUCUGGAAGAAAAGGAAUACACAUAAGGCAUAUUAAUAUAUGCCAUGGUUAGUGGUAACUAUUAACUUCAUAGGCACAAGAAUCAGUAGUGAGAUAGUAGUCUUGGACACGCUAGUGGGGGGAUUGUCUUGAUUAGGUUAGCUGAUGUGAGAGGAGCCAUAUUAACCUUAGUGGGAUUAUUCCAGGCAUCCUGGACUGCAUGAAAUGAAGAAAGUAAGAUGUUCAGGAGCAUCCAUUGAUCUUGGUUCCUGAUUGUGAUAUAAUGUGACCAUCUUCACAAGCUCCUGACACUUUUACUUCUCCACCAUAAUGGACUAUGACCCUGCAAUGUAACCUCAAAUAAACCCUUCCUCCCUGAAGCUGCUUUUCUCGGGGCAUUUUAUCACAGCAACAUGAAAGAAACCAAGACAAGCCAUAUCCCAAACAGAUUUUAUCUUAAAUAACGCUUGCUCUCGAUCCAAAACCUAAGAACAUUAAGUCCAGAAUAAAGGUUCUAACUGAAUCAGACCAAAUAAUGCCCUUCAACUGAAGAAUGGAUAAACACAAUGUAGUACAUAUACACAAUGGAAUACUACUCAGCAGAGAAAAACAAUGGCAUCAUGAGGUUUGCAGACAAAUGGAUGGAUCUAGAAAAAAAUCAUCCUGAGUGAGGUAACCCAGACUCAGAAAGACAAACAUGGUAUGUACUCACUCAUAGCAGGAUACUAGACAUGAAACAAGGAUGACUUGUCUGCUACUCACAUCACCAGAGAGGCUACCUGGAAAACAGGACCCCAAGAAAGACACAGGGAUCGCCCAAUGACAGAGAAAUGGAAUGAGAUCUACAUGAACAGCCUGGACAUGAGUGGGGGUAGUGUAAGGCGAGGGUCGAGGGAAAGAGAGCUUGGGGGAGCGGGAGAUCCCAGCUGGUUUCUGAAACUUGACUAGUAGAGGAAAAAUGAAGCUGGUGAGGUAAAAUGGUAGUGGGGAUUAUCCAAGAAUAGUGUUUCUUUAGUCUUUUACCUAAAAUGACCCUUUAGCUCUUUUCCUUUUUGUGUUCUUGGUUGUCCCUGUCUACUACCACAGUCUUAGGAGGUCCUAUAGAGAGACUUCUGAAUAGGAUAGGGAGUAAAAAGAAGUCAUUCCAAAUAUAUAAUCCUAGAAAGGACUUUAAUUGUAAAAACAUCAAGAAACAGAGGAGCCCCCACGCCACUAGAUGCACAUGAGUUAUGUGAACUUGAUUUUGCAAGUCAUUUAAAAGUCCUUUAGGCAUCAAGAUCUUUUAACCAACUGCUGCAUACACACGGCGAAGACUUUGAUGACCUAAAGUACUAACCACAUUUUCUAAGGUUAAAAAUCGUUGCUUGCGAUGAGGGCUAAAGAUGGAUCAGGGUUUGAGAGCACCUGUUGCUCUUUCUAGGGAACAGGAAUCACUUCCCAACACCCACAUGGCAGCUAACAACCAUCUGUAACUAACUAUACUCCCAGGCAAUUUGACACCCUCUUUUGGCCUGUGCAGGCACCACACAUACAUAGUGCACAGACAUACAUGUCAGCAGUCCAAUAUGUUGGAACUUGGUCAUAAGAAUGAUUCAUGGCUGAGCAAUGCCUUGGGGAACUGUGAGAGAGGCUCUAGGAAAAAGAGCUAAGAGCCUUUUACCUCACGUGCAUUUUUAUUUCCUGGAUUGUUCUUGGAUGUGAUUCCAUGCCUCCUGUGUUAAACAUUUACAUUCAAUUUAUAAGAUAUGUUUAUUCUUGCCGGGCGGUGGUGGCGCACGCCUUUAAUCCCAGCACUCGGGAGGCAGAGCCAGGCGGAUCUCUGUGAGUUCGAGGCCAGCCUGGUCUCCAAAACGAGUUCCAGGAAAGGCGCAAAGCUACACAGAGAAACCCUGUCUCGAAAAACCAAAAAAAAAAAAAAAAAAAAAAAAAGAUAUGUUUAUUCUUAUUGGAUGUCAUAAUGUAGUUAUAGAACCCAAUCUGGCCAGUGUGUCUUGAAUCUGGAUAUGGCCUUUUGCCUUGCUUUUGUGAUUUCCCAGAUAUAAUCUAUAGUACAUGCCAGGCAAUUGUCUUUAAAUUGGUCUGUUCUGAGAAAGUUCUGGGAAAGGGGCUACUCUGUCAGUAUGUAGUAUGUGCUUACUGGCAUUUAUUUACAUGUUUUUCUGAACUCAAACAACUUUUCUUAGAUCACUGCUUUGUUGUGUUCAUGUAUAAAAGUACACUGAAAAUGAAGUCAGAUUGUCUACAGCAUUAGACUGUAGUCUGUCCCAUUUUUUCAGGUCCUCAGAUCCCAGGUCCCAUCAGACAUUUUCUACACAGGUUAGCUAAAAAGUCAACAAGUGGCUCCUGAAUCAGAGAUCUGAAUGAAAAACUAAGACAGAGGAAUUGAGGAUCCCUGCAGAAGGAGGUCUUCAAUUUGCUGUGGUUGAUUGCCUAGUGUCAAGCCAAGCUGAUGGAAGAAUGCAUCUGUGUCAUCCUCCUGCCUGGUAAGAACUAUUUUUCUUUCAUCAUUUAAAAAAUAUCCUCAUUCUUCACUACACCAAGAAAACUUAAGCACCCACGUAAACAAAAGCCAGUGCAGAAAACAUCCCUGGGAUCCCAGUGAUGGGAGGCAGAGACAAGUGGGAUUAAUCAAGCCCACUGACCAUCUCAUCUAGAUGGACAGGGAGGACCCAGCAUCAUUGAGAGAACCUUUUUUCAAAAAAUACAGUGGAAGGUGACUGAGAAGAUAACUAAUGUCAACCAUGGACUCCACAGAACAGAAGAUAGUGGGAUUACAGCUUCUUGUUGGGAUUAUAUACAUAACUAUGCAGACUCUGUAGACAGCAUCUGGAGACAUGGGACUGGGGCACUUCCCUUUCAAAGUCAACCAGGUCUUUGUGGUAACAUCACGGUAAGAGAUAAGUACUUAGCAAAAUCAGACAUAUUAUUAGGGGUAUCAUGAACAGUUCUAUUUCAAAAGGUGAAGAAGCAAUCAUCUUUCACAGAGAAUUGUCAGAAAGGAAAACAGCUGUACUAUCUUGGGACACAACUUUCAAAUGUAUUAUGUCUUCAUGAUUCUAAUAUUAAAAACCCAGAAGAGUUACUACAUUAAGUCUUGUUAAGAGUUGUACAAUUUAUUCCAGAAAAAUUAUAAUAACAAAUAUUUCAGUUACUUUAUUACAAAGAAUAUAACAUACAUUAAACUAAGUUUCUGUGCUGUGGGAUGCUCUAUAUGCUGUGAAUGUGUUGUUCUGAUUGGUUGAUAAAUAAAAAUAAAUAAAAUAAAUAAAAAAAUGCUGAUUGGCCAGUAGCCAGGGAGGAAGUAUUGACAGGAUAAACAGAAAAGGAGAAUUCCAGGAGGUGGACGGCUGAGUCAGUAGAUACCAGCCCACCAUCCAGGGAGCAGUAUGCAAUGGCAUACAGGUAAAGCCACAGGACACGUGACAACAUAUAGAUGAACAGAAAUGGGCUGAGUUUAAAUGUAAGAGGCAGUCAGUGGUAGGCCUGAGCUAAUGGCCAACCAAUUUUAAUUAAUAUAAGCUUCUAAGUGAUUAUUUUAUAAGCGGCUGCUGGACUGUGGGACCAUGAGAGCUGGGUGGGACCAGGAAAACUUCAGCUACAUUUCUGUAUGAUAUCACAGUGAAAAACUUUGGAUAUUUUUAUUUCUGAGAACCAUUAUUUAAAAAAAAAAGUUUAUUCUAGGACCAAGCCUCAUUUUUGAGGUUGGUAAAAAUUUAAAUUCAAGAGAUUUUCAUGGAAAUAUUAAUCAUUCAUUUUUCAUUCACAUUUUUUUCACCAUUAGCUGAGUGCCUUCCAGUUCUAGGCUGAGACUUUCAGAGAGCUGAUGAGAGUCAUACUUAGGAUGUCUAUGACUCCGUUUAGAGGUGGUUAUAUUAGAAUUAUAAAGGUAUUCUGUUUUCCUUUUUCCUUUUUGCUGAGAAUACAUGGCAUAUCAUGCAUUUUUUUUUCUCAUGAUGAUAACAAACCAUGACUGGAGUCAAACUCUUUUUUUCUAUAAGAGAAUGUGUGAUGUCAGACUUUCAAGUAGUCAAAACACCAAAUUUGUGUGGGAAAUGGCACCUGGUUUAAGUCUCUUUGGUGUGGAGUCACACUGGCUGUCUUUUCCUCUUUAUUUCAGAGAACCAAUGUUCCGGCAAGGAAAUUCAAACGUAAAGGAGACAAAUUUGCUUAAAAUUUAUCUUAGAAAAAAAAUGAGAGGGUCUUCUGAACAUCAUUCAGGGCUAUAGUUUUCUGACAAGGAAAUGCUGUGGCAAGGUACAGUGGUGAGGAGAUCUAUCCAUGGGGAAAGCUGCAUCCCAACACGAAAAGGAGACCUGGUGUAAAGGCCACAGUGAAGCGAUCACUCACUUGACAAGAAUUGUGACUAUUUAAAAUAUAUAAAAUUCUAGAAGACUACUUCAUCAAGCAGUCAAUCAAAUGCCCAGAAUUUAGACAUUCAAACACUUAUUCUGGCAUUUUAGUGGAUGUAUUUAAAACGUUUUUCCUUUUUUAAAAACAAAGGAGGGAAAAAUUAAUAGGCGAACUGCCAUUAAAUUUAACUCUAAGUAGGUCAUCUAGUUUUAAAAGGAUGUUUAAAAGGAUGGUAUCCAUACAUUUAGUUUUGUUUAAUGAAAAUUUAAUCAUACAGAUAUGUUUUGUUAUUUAAAAAACAUUACUAAAUGUCAUUUGCUGUGGAUAUUGCUCUAUAUAAAUAAAGCACUGAUUGGCCAGUGACCAGGCAGGAAGUAUAGGCGGGACAAGGAGAGAGGAGAAUUGAGGAAGGAGGAAGGAAAGGGAGACCGGCUGGAGCCACCGCCAAGACAAGGAAGAAAUAAAGUACCGGUAAGCCACGAGUCACGUGGCAAAGUAGAGAUUAAUAGAAAUGGGCUGAAUAUAAGAGUGAGAGCUAGACAAUGAUAGGCCUGAGAUAAUGGCCAAGCAGUUUAAAUAAUGUAAGAUUCUGUGUGUUUAUUUUAUAAGUGGGCUCCGGAACUGGUGGGACUUGGCGGGGGGAGCUGGAGAAAAAUUCUCCAGCUACAGUCAUUAAAAGAUCAUUUUGAGAUCAACUAUGGUUUAGAUAAGUAUUCCCCAAAAGUCUGUGGCUAUAAAUCUCAUUUCUUGCACAGGAUAUUACUGGAUGGUGGUAGAAACUAUUGGGUAUGGAACAACAGAGGAGAUGCUCAUGUGGCUAUAAAUCUCAUUUCUUGCACAGGAUAUUACUGGAUGGUGGUAGAAACUAUUGGGUAUGGAACAACAGAGGAGAUGCUCAUGACAUUGGGACCAUACUUUUUUCUAAUUUGUUUUGGGGCCCAUGAAGUGAAGAACAUCUCUGUAUGUGUUCUCUACCAUUGCCUUCUAAGAUCUAAGAGCAAAGAUUCUGCUUGCUCUUUGAUCACAAUCUCUAAAUCCAGAGAGACAAAAAAUUUUCUGUUUAAAAGUUGAUUAUAUUGGGUAUUUAGUACUAUAAUCAUCAAAAGCCCCACAAGUCUUAGUGCUACAUUUGGAUAACAAAUUAAUGUGUGAUCUUCUAAGUCAACUUCAUAAUAGGCCUUUUAUUAGUUUUAUAUCUUCAUACAUUAUAUGUGCAUUACCUUUCAACAUUAAAAAGGAAGACAUGAAACAGGAUAAGGAUGUAUUAGAGGUUACAGGGCAGUUGGAAAAGGGAAAUGGGGUGUGGCUAUGAUCAUAUUUUAUUGUACUCAUGCAUGAAAUGCUCAAAACACAAAAUAGGUAAAUACAAAUAAGUACUACAAAAUGUUAAUGCAUCAGAAGAUGUUUUGAUAGAGUUAAUAAAUAAGGCAAAAUCCAGAAAAAUUCUAGAGAAAUAUUUCUAAGUAAACAAUUAUUUAUAAAUCACCCCUGUGGCAAUCAUCAAGCAGAAAGGACUGGAAUGUGCUCUACUCACUAACUGUUCCAUCAAGAAGCAAUGGUUCUUUUUUUUAAAAAAAGGUGAUAUACACUAUUGUGGAGUGGAAAUUUCCACCUCCAAGAGCAGCCACAUCAUCCAAAUUGAUGAGGAUUUCAGCUUAAAAGUUGGAAACCAAAUGGUCAUCUCCUCAAACCUGGAUGGUUUACUAAUAAUACAAAAGCAUCAAUCUUUGGUCAAAAAUUAUGUUUUCGUAACAUUUUAACUUAACAAAAACCUUUUUGUGACUUGAUACCAUAUGAUUUCCAUGAGUAAUUAGAUGUUAACUGGUGUCUGGAUUAUAUUCAUAUAUGUAGAAAAUUUACAACAAUGCUUGAUGAAAGUACUAUUUUUUUAUUGUUACAAAUGCUUUUUAACCUACAAGUGGGUUAUAUAGCAAUAAAAACCAUUGUAAGUUAAAAGAAUCAUACACUGAAAACAUAUUUUACAAUCCUAUUGUGGGAUAUUCCUUUACACUGAGUGAAUAUGAGUAAUAAGGAAGCUGACUGGCCAAUAGCUGAACAGGAUAAAGUUAGGUGGGAGAGCUAAACCGAGAAUGCUAGGAGAAAGAGCAGAACUGCAGAGUUGCCAGCAGACACAGAGAGAUGCAAAAUAGACAUGCAGUACUGAGAAAAGGUACCAAGCCACAUGGCAAAGCAUAGAUAAGAAAUAUGGAUUAAUUUAAAUGUAAGAGUUAGCUAGUAACAAGCCUGAGCUAUUGGCCAAUCAUUUGUAAUUAAUAUAAGUCUCAGUGUGUUUAUUUGGGAGCGCUGGCAGGACAGAAACUUCCACCUACACCUUAUCUCAUUGAACAUCAUAACUCAGCCACAGUGCACUAUACUGUAGUGAUUGUUUCUAAUAUAAUUAGGCAGCUGAAUGGGAGAGAGGUGCAGGUAGAUGUAGCAGUCCAACAUCAUGAGAAGGGAUAGUUAAACUAGAAAAAAAUCAAAAUUCAAAGUGUAGUUUCUAAUGAGUGAGUAUUGCUUGUACAUCAUCUAAAGUAGAAGAAUCAGAAAGUCAAACCACCCUAAGCAGUGUGCCUUUUAUGCCAUUUAUGAUGGAUCAUAACAGAAUGAGCAUAUUCUAGUAAAAUUAAAAAGAUAAAAUCUGCACUCCCAGUACUUUUUUCAUAAAUUUGCCUACUUUAAAACUUACUUAUAGGAACAUAAUGAUCCAGGUAGAAGUCAUGUCAUUUGAUUAUUUUCUAAGUAAUGUAGGAAGAAUUAUCAGUUAUAAGACGAAAGGCUUUAAUGCCAAUGGUCAAGGCUUCUUACAAACUGUACCUUUCCAUUUCCAUUGUGAGUUCUUCCCUGAUUCUAAAAGCUCCAAUAAAGAGUUGGAAGUCACUGCAAGAGAGGCAGUGUUGUUUUAAUUGCAAGUGAAUAUUAUUCCUGCUAGUUCAUAGGAAUUAUGUAAAUCAAAUAAACAAGAAAUAGAAUUGAUACGUUAUCCGAAACAGUAAUAAUCCAGAAUUUUCUGCAAUACAAUCCUGAAUACAGCAAGUUCUAUGUAAGCAACCAGUCAGUUCCAUGAAGAAAACCAUGAAUAAGGACCUGGCAUAGGCCAUGGCAAGAGACCAGAGUGGAUUCAGAAACAAGUCAAGGAGAUGGGAACUCAAACAACAGCAGUAGGUAGUGGUGCUUGCUUUGCUUUAUUUCUUAGUAGAUCUUAGCUCUUGUUUCAUCAAUGUGUCACUGAUAGUAAUUAGUAGCAAACAGGACCAUGUAGGGGUUCUGUAGCUUUAAAUUAACUUUGCUAAGAUUUUGUAUAUCCUUAAAUUAAAUUAUCUGUAAAUAUGAAGCACUUAAUCCUUCAUGAUUAAUUUCCGUCUCUUUUUCCUGAUCUUUGCACGAAGCUCUAUUUCAAUGAUUUUUGUCACAUAGGUGCAGAACAUAGAGAGAGCACAUAUGUGAGCCCACACAUCCACCAGGACUUCUAACUCAGCAGAACUUCUCCCAGAAGAUUCCUUCAUGUCCAUCAUCCAUGUAACUAAAAGCAGAUCUCACUAAUGCUCUCUGGACACUUAUGAGGACAUAAGAGCAGAGAACUUGAAGACUUGAGAACUCUCCAAUGAUGUAUGAUUACAAAAUUGGGGCAAGACCUGGACUUGUGAUGUUCUUCACAAAACGGGAAGAUUGAAAAAAGAAAUGGCGACAGAACUGAUGCGUAGAUGCUAAAAGAUUCACUGAAAGUUUUAAAAUGGGAAGACAUGCUCUCUAUGAAGGCCCCUUCAGUCAACGUGGAGUAGCCCUUCACCAUGCCAAAGAGACAAAUGCCAGCCAAGAGAAGCAAACCGAGAGCAACCUGUCGUUUACUCCUUCCGGUUCCUCCUCUGGCUUCCCCAUCCGCAGGGGGAACUCUCAAGCUGAGAGAUGUAAAUUCUCAAAGAUGGCAGAUUUUUAGAGAAUUUCAAAAGGAGGCAGAAGACUUAUGCUCGCCAUGCAAUUAUCAGGUAACUUCUGGUUAAACUUUUAACAUGCUGAUAUUAAUUUCACGUAAUGGAUUUAAAUGUAGAUCACUUAGGCAGUGGUAUCUUUUCAAACAAGCUAUUUAGAGACAAGAAUUUGAAGACAAUUAAAUUUGAAUUAGAGGCAGGUAGGCAUGAUUUUCCAUUGUUAAGACAUAAGACUAGAAUAAAAUGAUUAGCAUUUUAGGAAGCAAAAUACCAGAUCUUAACAACAAUAUAUCCUAAAUAUCCACUGAUUAAGCUCUGUCUGGUUUAAGGGAAAUAUUCACAUGUAAAUUCCCCUCCCUUCAGUUUACCUGGGGCUUCCAUUACAUAAGUCACCUGAUGUUCACUAAACAAAUAAGAACUUGUUAAUUAAUUAGCUCAUUGAGGAUCUUUAAUAUGCAAUUUGCAUGCCAAUGGUUACAUCUUUAUUUUAUUUUUAUUAUUAUUAUUACUAUUAUUACUUUUUUUUUGGUUUUUUGAGACAGAGUUUUUCCGUGUAGUUUUGAUGCCUGUCCUGGAUCUUGCUCUGUAGACCAGGCUGGCCUCAAACUCACAGAGAUCAGCCUGGCUUUUCCUCCUGAGUGCUGGGAAUAAAGGCGUGUGCCACGGCUGCCUGGAUGCCAAUGGUUACAUCUUAAACAAGUUAUCUAAAUGUUUAGGAAAAAUUCUUCUCAACUUUUCCAUUGUUUGCCUUGCCUGAUUCUUACAUUGAUAAAGGUAAAUUUCAGCAUAUGCAAACAGGUCAGAAAUAAUAAUUUCCAAAUCGAAAAGUAAACAAUGGAAGCCAUAUAGUCAGAGACUUUCAGCAGCUGUAAUUUUUAUUGUUGGGUUAUGUUGUUUUGUUAUAUAGUGGCAUACCUCUCUGUACAAGUGUGCACAUGUGAGUGUGUCUGUGUUGGCUACUGGCUGAAUCCCACUCCUCUUUAGGGUUUUAGCUAGUUUUUCUCAGCAUGAUGUGUUUCUCCCUAGGGCUCCAGAUUGAAUUUCAUUCUCUGCAGUUUGACAUUCCUUUCUCAUGUCUCUGAUUAUAGCCAGUCUAGCAUGUUGUUCCUCCUUGUCCUUCCUGUACACUGGUGGAUUUGUGGAGAUGAAGAAUUGUUUAUUUGAUGAACAUUGGCUACACUGAAAUUUUCUGGGUUUUUUCCCCCCAAGUAGUUGCUUAUUUUGGAGCUUAAUUUAAUUAAGAUCUUCUUUCUUAAAUAUAAUUAUUUUAUUCUAUUUACUUUUCUUUUGUCCUGGAGUUGCAGAGUUUUUACGCUGUCAAAUUAUCUUUAAAUUUUUACUCAAACAUUAGAUAAAUUCAGCAGCAGUUUGUGUGAUGUUCACCAAUCUAUUUCUUAUAAGAAUUUGAAUUUUUACAAUGAAAUCAAAUUACUAGACAGCCUGGUGCCAGAAAUAUGUCUCUAGGGUACAGGCACUUGCUACCAAAUCUAAAGCCUGAGACUUGAGCUCAGUCCCUGGAUUCCACAUGGUGGUCUAAGAGAGGUCACUUCUGAAGUUGUCCUCUGACCUCCAUAAAUACACCAUAGCAUACACCACACACAUACAACCCCCACACAAAUAAAUAAAUAAAUAAAUGUAAAAAUAUUAAAGAGAGUUAUUGUGGAAUAUUUUAAUAAAGUGACCUGUAGUAAAAUCUCUAUCUUCCACUCAUCAAUUUAUUCUUGCUUAUGUUAUUAAAACCAUUUCCUCACCUACAGAGUAGACAUACUGUAAGAUCAGUAUGAAGAUAUUAUGAAGAUACUUGUUAUUCAACAGUGUCUGCAGAAUUAGAAGUUUAUUGUUGAAAAUACAGAACAUGAUGUUUUCAGCAUGAUCUUAUUAUUUCCUGCGCUGAAACCUUACUGUCAUGCUACUUCCAUGCAAUCAUACACACACACAUACACACACUACAGAUUGUGUCAUGAAAAUGUCCAUGUAAGAAUGCAAAAUGUUGUCUUAACACCGAGGUAUCAUUCUGAAGCCUAAUCCAUUCAGUGACACAGGGAUGCCCAUGUAGUUGCUGCCUUGGGCUAUGUAAGCACGCUUCAUGAUGUUCAUACAGCGAUCUCAUCACAGAAGAAUGCAUUUCUCAGAUGUACUGAGGGUAAAUGGUGCAUGGCUAUCCUUCACUUCAGUUAUGUUUGAAUGUCUUAUAUUUGCAGUCCCAGAGACCUGAAUUUUGCUUAACUAGCCUAAGUACUUUCAGAAAAGAUCACUUAUGUUAAUAGAAAUGAGCUUGGCUAGCGUAAUGGAUGAUACAUUAUGUGCCUGGGCCUGCCCUUAACCAUCCCUCACGGGUGUCAAUACAAGAUUUUUAGCAUUCAGAAAAUAAAACUAUCUACAAAAUGA